GUCAAGAUGGCCGAAUUGGUCUAAGGCAGGUGCGGAUCCCAAAAGGCGUGGAUUCAAAUCCUACUUUUGACA
rnacentral:tRNA from 1 species